AGCUCCAAUAGCGUAUAUUUAAGUUGUUGCAGUUAAAAAGCUCGUAGUUGGAUUUCGGAGUUGGGCGACCGGUCCGCCGUUUCGGUGUGCACUGGUCCGACCCUACUUUUUCUGUCGGGGACGCGCGCUCUUUAAUUGGGGACGCGGAGUCGGCGCUGUUACUUUGAAAAAAUUAGAGUGUUCAAGGCAGGCUUACGCUCUGAAUACUAUAGCAUGGAAUAACGCGAUAGGACUCCGAGCCUAUUUCGUUGGUCUUCGGGACCGGAGUAAUGAUUAAGAGGGACAGUUGGGGGCAUUCGUAUUCCGGUGUCAGAGGUGAAAUUCUUGGAUUUCCGGAAGACGAACUUCUGCGAAAGCAUUUGCCAAGGAUGUUUUCA
rnacentral:rRNA from 1 species